AAGAGUAAAGUACUUCCGCUUCCUUAGGUGGAGCUGGAAAGGUGGAGGCGGAAGUGACUGAUCAAUUCAGGGGCGUGGGGUUCGUUUAGGUUUUGCCCUGUGUAUGACCUCGUUUGGAGCCAUGAAACCAGGUGGCUUUUCUACAAUAUAAAGAUGGAAAUGGGAAGAAGAUGUUCAUUGCAAAUUAAGGAAGCUCUUCCACGAGUUCACGAAUGGAAAUAACAUCAAGAGUUUUUCAUCUUCUUAGUGUGCAAGGUUAUUUUAGGGCAAUGAUGGAAAGCACCAAGUGGAGUCUGGAGCUAGACUGAUCUGUGUUCAAUCCUGUCUUGGUUACUCAUUGGGGGGCCUCGACUUUCAUGUCUCUGUAAUGUCCCUGACAGUAUCUGCCUCACAGGGUUGCUGUGAGAGUCAAGCGAGAUAAAUAUCAAGGAGUGCAAUUCCUGGAUUUAUGAUGUCUGAGGAAUAGUCUUAGUGGAUUAUCCCAAACUUGACACAUUUUUUGCAAAAUGCUAUACAAAAAGAAGAUACAUGCGAUUAUGACAAGAUUCUCCACUUGGUGUGACCAGUCUCAUACAACCCAAGGCUGUGUGUCCAAAGGCAACUGUACUGAAUACCGGAAAGCAUGUAUUUGUUUGCUAAAUUGCUCUCUUUCCACCAGUGAUAUCAAUUCUGAAAUACUUUUGAGAUCUUGACAAUAAUCAAAAGGUAGCCAGGUGCAUCGGGGAAAGCACUGACAUUGGAGUCAGACAGACUGAAGUUCAUAUCUGAUUCUGCUAUAUGACAACGUGUGGGCUAUGUGGCUAACUUCUCAGAGCUUCAGUUUUCUCAAGGGCAAAAUGAAAAUAAUAGAAAUAAUAGAAUCCACCUCACAGGGCUGUGGUGAGAAUUGGAGAUGAAGCACAUACAGCAUAUUACAUCAACUAAACACAUGCUAAGCACAUGACAGAAUUGCUCUGUUGAAGUUUUGCAAGGUCAAAUGACUCACUUUGUCUAAUGGAACGGGAACGAACAAUUUUUUUGUGUCACGUUUGAACAGAUACCUUUGAGAAGUUUAUGAUUCUCCAAGUUCUCUUUCUCCUACUGUGGCACCUACUGACAAGAUAAAUGUGUAGAGGUUCCUGAGUCUAGGGGCACUGGAACCAGCUGACUGAUCUAUGGAAGUUCCCUUGGUCUCCAUUUGUUUAGAAAAGGGAUGAAGAAACUGAGGCCCACAGAAGGUGGGUGAUACCUGCAAAAUCACAAGCUUUCAUGGUGAAAGAAGAGGGCAAAACUCAACCCGUCUCUUUAGACUUGGGAAGAAUAUGAAAGGACCAGGAGGGACACCUUUCCUAAUAACCUAGCUGAUGGUUCACUUAUUGUAAGCACAUUCUCAAACAAGAGGCUGGAAAGCUGAAAAAUGACAUUCCCAGACUCCAUUGAAAUUAGAUUUCCAGAGGUGAUUUAUGUUCCACACAUCAGAUGUAUAUGCUCAAGAUUUGUUUAACAGGGAAGGAGGCAGUGGUGUGUGGGUCCCUUUUGCUCAUGUGAAUCUUACAGAGUUGUCUCACUAAGCCCAAAUUUGUCUAACUGGCCUUAUUUCCCUGGAGUAUAUCCUGGAAGUUUCCAUUCAAGCCAAUUUAAGUUACUUUAAAUUAGGAAAGGCAGAAAACAAAAGCCCAAACCUUUGUAAAGGAGGAGGAUUUGCUACAUUGUUCUCAAUUCAUCACAGAAGAGGAUGAAACUGAGUGAUUACACUUGCUGGAGAGAAAAAAAGUCCUUCCCCCGCUCACCCCAAAUAAAGCAUUAACUUUAUGUUAAUCCAUGAA
rnacentral:lncRNA from 1 species